AUGGAAAGCCCUCCCAAGACACAAUGCAGCCUACUUUUUGUCAAGGAAACUUUCACUGUGUAUGUACUUGUAUUUGGCUCUGGUACGAGUCUUCAUGUGACAGACAAUCGUGUACGAAAACCCAAAGUGACGGUCUACCCAGCGUCCAACCCUGAUUCGAAUGUGAAGACCACCCUGCUAUGUCUGGCUAGAGACAUGUUUCCAGACUUGGUCAAGAUCUCAUGGAAGAUGGAGGAUGCAAACGGCCGAACAGUGGAGGCGCCCAAAGCAGAGACGGAAGUCCUGGAGCAGAGGGAGAAAGGACAGACGACCAGUAUGAUCAUCAUUGAUAAAGAGAAGACGUACAGGAACAAAUACAUCUGUUCUGUGGAGCAUAAAGGGGGCACUCAAGAUGUUGACAUACCAAAAGAGGAACCAACUAAAGCUCCUCCAACCACCGUGGCUGCACCAACCACUCUACACGUUACCUAUGAAGAUCCAACUGAAGCUCCUCCAUCCACCAAGGCUGCACCAACCACGCAGGUUACAAACGAUUCCUUCCAGUCAACGUGCAGUCUGAACCUGGCCUCUCUGGUUUAUACAGUGAUGAUAGUGAAGAGCAUGGUGUACUGCUGUGGGCUCUCUCUCCUGCUGCACCACAGGAGCCUGGGAAGUAGACCCAGCACCGGUAGACCCAUCCAUUGAAAGGAUACGCCCCAGUAUGGAUAGAGUUGUAGAGGGCUGGGAAUAACAAGGAUUGUACAUCCCAUUGUGGUCUCACGUUUCAUUUGUAUUGCUUUGAUUUUUUUCCUGCUUGAUUUUUUUGAUGCAAAACUAUUGUGAGCCAUAGAUUUACACGUCUUCCAAUAACUUCAACAGCCAAUUAUGACAUUAAUUGCAAAAUGUUGAAUUUGUAUUUCCUAUAACUUCAACUGGCAAUUACGACAUUAAUUGCAGAACCUUUAAUUGUGUAUAUUGUGUUUCCCUCCUUAACAUUUAAAUUAAUAUCACAUUUUAUUUUUGAUGAUUGUGGGAGCUACCUACUGCAGUCACUAGAAUAAAGGUUCAAUUAAGGUUUUCAGAAAAUUAAGGAUAGGACAUCUUUAAGGUAGAUCCUCAUGGUUAAAAUGUAGAUUGUUUUAUGAAAGUUGGCCUGCAAUAUCUGCCAUAGUGGUAAAUUAUUUUCACAUCUGUAUUUGAAUUAUACACAAAUAUUUACCUAAAUAUUAUAUCUAUCUAAAUAUUUUAUUA